rnacentral:rRNA from 1 species
UGUUGUUGGGUAGGGGAGCGUUCUGUAAGCCUGCGAAGGUGGCCUGUGAGGGUUGCUGGAGGUAUCAGAAGUGCGAAUGCUGACAUAAGUAACGAUAAUGCGGGUGAAAAGCCCGCUCGCCGGAAGACCAAGGGUUCCUGUCCAACGUUAAUCGGGGCAGGGUGAGUCGACCCCUAAGGCGAGGCCGAAAGGCGUAGUCGAUGGGAAACAGGUUAAUAUUCCUGUACUUGGUGUUACUGCGAAGGGGGGACGGAGAAGGCUAUGUUGGCCGGGCGACGGUUGUCCCGGUUUAAGCGUGUAGGCUGGUUUUCCAGGUAAAUCCGGAAAAUCAAGGCUGAGGCGUGAUGACGAGGCACUACGGUGCUGAAGCAACAAAUGCCCUGCUUCCAGGAAAAGCCUCUAAGCAUCAGGUAACAUCAAAUCGUACCCCAAACCGACACAGGUGGUCAGGUAGAGAAUACCAAGGCGCUUGAGAGAACUCGGGUGAAGGAACUAGGCAAAAUGGUGCCGUAACUUCGGGAGAAGGCACGCUGAUAUGUAGGUGAAGCCCCUGCGGGUGGAGCUGAAAUCAGUCGAAGAUACCAGCUGGCUGCAACUGUUUAUUAAAAACACAGCACUGUGCAAACACGAAAGUGGACGUAUACGGUGUGACGCCUGCCCGGUGCCGGAAGGUUAAUUGAUGGGGUUAUCCGUAAGGAGAAGCUCUUGAUCGAAGCCCCGGUAAACGGCGGCCGUAACUAUAACGGUCCUAAGGUAGCGAAAUUCCUUGUCGGGUAAGUUCCGACCUGCACGAAUGGCGUAAUGAUGGCCAGGCUGUCUCCACCCGAGACUCAGUGAAAUUGAACUCGCUGUGAAGAUGCAGUGUACCCGCGGCAAGACGGAAAGACCCCGUGAACCUUUACUAUAGCUUGACACUGAACAUUGAGCCUUGAUGUGUAGGAUAGGUGGGAGGCUUUGAAGCGUGGACGCCAGUCUGCGUGGAGCCAACCUUGAAAUACCACCCUUUAAUGUUUGAUGUUCUAACGUUGGCCCCUUAUCGGGGUUGCGGACAGUGUCUGGUGGGUAGUUUGACUGGGGCGGUCUCCUCCCAAAGAGUAACGGAGGAGCACGAAGGUUAGCUAAUCCUGGUCGGACAUCAGGAGGUUAGUGCAAUGGCAUAAGCUAGCUUGACUGCGAGCGUGACGGCGCGAGCAGGUGCGAAAGCAGGUCAUAGUGAUCCGGUGGUUCUGAAUGGAAGGGCCAUCGCUCAACGGAUAAAAGGUACUCCGGGGA